GAGAUUGCUGGGAAACAUUUUCCAGGAGUAGAAUGCAAAUGGGGUGAUCAGGGUCUUGAGGAAAUUAUUGCAGAUAGUUCAAUUCUUGGUGUUGCUGUGGUUUUAGCUGGCCAAGUUCAGGUUGAUUUCUCACUGAAGCUUCUCAAAGCAGGGAAGAAUGUCCUUCAAGAGAAACCAGCAGCAGCUACUACAAGUGAAUUGGAAAUUGCAGUGUCAAGUUAUAAAUCUAUUGUUGCUAAUACC